rnacentral:rRNA from 1 species
UACGGAGGAUCCAAGCGUUAUCCGGAUUUAUUGGGUUUAAAGGGUGCGUAGGCGGCCUAUUAAGUCAGGGGUGAAAGACGGUAGCUUAACUAUCGCAGUGCCUUUGAUACUGAUGGGCUUGAAUACACUAGAGGUAGGCGGAAUGUGACAAGUAGCGGUGAAAUGCAUAGAUAUGUCACAGAACACCAAUUGCGAAGGCAGCUUACUACGCAGUUAUUGACGCUGAGGCACGAAAGCGUGGGGAUCAAACAGG